UACGUAGGGCGCAAGCGUUAUCCGGAAUUAUUGGGCGUAAAGAGCUCGUAGGCGGUCUGUCGCGUCGGCUGUGAAACCCGGAGCUCAACUCCGGGCCUGCAGUCGAUACGGGCAGACUGGAGUUCGGCAGGGGAGACUGGAAUUCCUGGUGUAGCGGUGAAAUGCGCAGAUAUCAGGAGGAACACCGGUGGCGAAGGCGGGUCUCUGGGCCGAUACUGACGCUGAGGAGCGAAAGCGUGGGGAGCGAACAGG
rnacentral:rRNA from 1 species